CAACCGUUCCCAUACCGAACACGGUAGUUAAGCUCUUCAGCGCCGAUGGUAGUCGGGGGCUUCCCCCUGUGAGAGUAGGACGCCGCCAAGC
rnacentral:rRNA from 1 species